rnacentral:RNase_P_RNA from 1 species
UGAGCCGGCCGGGUGGCCGCGGCACGACGACGAUCGUGUCGAGGAAGGUCGGGGCUCCGCAGGGCAGGGUGCUGGCUAGCGGCCAGUCGGGGUGACCCGCAGGAAAGUGCCACAGAGAGCAGACCGCCGAUGGCAGCCGGGAGACCGGCGGGCACAGGCAAGGGUGAAACGGUGCGGUAAGAGCGCACCAGCGCCCGGGGCGACCCGGGCGGCUCGGCAAACCCCACCCGGAGCAAGGCCAAGCGUGGGACGGGUGGCCCGCCCGACGUCCCCAGG